GCACCCAAUAUUCUUUGGGCAAAGGGACAGCUUGAGCAGGCUGGGGUGGCUGGGCAGAAGAGGUUGCAAGAUGUGAAAGGAAUGGUUAUCUGUGAUCACGAGUCUCUGUUGAGACUUCUCUUCAACAAUCCAAACGAGAGAAUUGAGAUGGUGUGGAGGUGACGAAAAAAGUAAGACUGGAACUUGGGGGUGAAGAGAUCGAUGACUGAGUUCAAAUGGAAAAACCUCAAAGAGCUGAUAAAGAAUGCAUUAUGCUGCUCGAAGUGUUCCUGGUUCUGGGGACAGUCAUCAUCUACUUAUUACUUUCCAAGAAGAAAGAAGAGACAUUACCCUUCAAAGACGGAUGGUGGGGCAAGGGACCAAAGCCUGACACUGAAGAAGAUAGAACUAUUUGGCCAUUUAAGGUGGAAACUACAGAAGGAGAGCUGAGCGACUUAUUUAGGAGACUUGACCAGGCUCGACUGACUGAGCCACUCGAGAACAGCUGUUUCCAUUAUGGGACUAACUCGGUGUAUCUCAGGAAGGUUGUCUCCUACUGGAAAAAUGAGUUCAAUUGGAAGAAACAAGUGGAAAUCCUCAACAAGUACCCACAGUUCAAAACUAAGAUUCAAGGCAUUGAUAUCCAUUUUGUUCACGUAAAGCCUCCUUGUUUGCCUGAAGGCCAGUCUGCAAAGCCAUUAUUAAUGGUUCAUGGUUGGCCUGGCUCAUUUUACGAAUUUUACAAAAUUAUCCCUCUCCUGACGGAUCCUGCAAGCCAUGGCCUCAGUGAUGAGCACAUUUUUGAAGUCAUUUGCCCAUCUAUCCCCGGUUAUGGUUUCUCAGAAGCACCUCACAAAAAAGACUUUAAUUCUGUAAGUGCCGCUUCUGUUUUUUACGAAUUGAUGCUCAGACUGGGAUUCAACGAGUUCUAUGCACAAGGUGGCGACUGGGGCUGGCUCAUCUGCACCAAUCUGGCCCAGAUUGCUCCCACCCAUAUGAAAGGUCUCCAUUUAAAUCUAGCCUCAGUCACGAACGUGGGUUUCACUCACCUGCUCUCCAUUCUGCUGGGCUGCUAUCUUCCGAGGCUUUUCGGUUUCCAGGAUGAAGAUGUGAGGCGGAUGUUUCCCUUCUUGAAAAAAGGGCUCUACAGGAUCUUGCUGGAGUCUGGCUACGCUCACAUACAGGCUACAAAGCCUGAUACUGUUGGCUGUGGUUUGAACGACUCUCCUGUAGGACUGGCUGCAUACAUCUUGGAGAAGUUUUCUACAUGGACUGAUCUGGAAUUCCAGAAUUUAGAGGAUGGAGGACUAGAAAGGAAGUUUAACCUGGAUGAUCUGCUCACCAAUAUCAUGAUCUACUGGGUGUCAGGCUGUAUAGUCUCCUCAAUGCGUUUCUACAAAGAAAAUUUGAAGAAGGGGAUAGGCACACAGAAACAUGAAAGGCUCACAGUACAAGUACCUACUGGCAUUGCCUCCUUCCCUAAUGAAGUCAUGCACACGCCCCAGGCUUGGGCCCAGAAGAAAUACACCAACAUAGUUUCCUUCCAUUUCAUGCCUCGAGGUGGCCACUUCGCAGCUUUGGAGGAACCUGAACUUCUUGCUGAAGAUAUUUUGCAAUUUGUUGGGAAAGUAGAGAAAGAGCAACUUUGGAGAAAGAAAGAAUAACUCCCCUAACAAACAGCAAGCAAUGGUUCAAACCAGUGCAGGUGAUGAGCGCAGAGGGAGUACGGCACAGAGAACAGGGGAACGGAAACACGGGACGCCAGAACUAGACUCAACUACCCAGCUACCAACCAACCAACGUGACAAACUUCACCGUACGUGAAGACUGACUCACGACUGUCUCAACAGCACAAAAGAGGUGCAAGGAGGGAAACCAGCUGCUUCACCUUGCCCGUGCUGCCUGCCCCAGCAGCCACAAGGGGCCCAGCCUGCUGCCCGCAGCCCCCCCCCCCGCAGAGCCCUCCGCAGGCAAGGCUGAGCCAGGGGCGCUGGUUGCAUCUGCAGUGGCUGCAGCCUGCUCUGGGCCCAGGGAAAUGUGAAACUGCACCCUCAGCUCAGAAAUUCCUGCCCCCACUGGUAUCCCACAUCCAAUGUGAAACCAGCUUUUGCCCAUCCUGCUGAUACUGGCUUCCCGGCAAACACUCCAUCCUUCCUUCUCGGCACCACCCACCUGCUGUUGCUUCAUUCCCAGUUGUCCACUGCACAAGAGCCCACGGGUAUGUCCCACCCCGAGCUGUUCAGUCCCACCCAUUCCCACCUGAAUAUCACGUGCAGAUCUACUAGAGAGCGUGCCAGGAUAUCAGAUCUUGCAACUGCUGUCCUUGUGACUUCUCGGAAAAAGCUAUCUUACUGCAACAUCUACAUCUACCCAUCAGUUUACAGCCUCAAGUGCUUUAAGGCCCCAAAAUGACACUAUCGUAUCUGUGUUAUAUCCCGUGUGUCACGUAUCUAUCACAUCUCAGGGAAACGGUAAGAUGGGCUGAAGACCACCAGCUUUGUAUCAGUAGACAUUUCCAAACCAGACUGUAGUGGAAAGAGAUCUCCAUCCAGAACUGAAGCUGGACACAUAUCUGGCUUGUUAAGCUAGUGAAAUUCUUAUUUAACACACAGAGUAUUACUUUCCACUAGCCAUAAAAGUUGGUCUUAAGGUGGGACUUUUAAAAUCCAUUCAAGAGAGAAGAUCCAAUACACAUUACACCUGAACUCACCUAGGAAGGCAGGAAACAAGGUGCUACAGAAGGGAACAAACCCUCCCCCAGGAAAGCAACGUUUGCCUUCAACCAGGAGUCCAGCCACCCCGUAACGGAGACCGCAGGCUCCCUGCUGGAAGAGACUGGUAGCAGAGGCACACCAAGUAGGGAGCAGCAGCUUUGUAUACUACCCCAGUUAAUUCAUGGGGCCACAUCAGCCGUUUCAUCGUAAGAAUUAAAAGCUAAUUAUGGUACAUGCAACAGAAAAGACAGCUGUUCUUGAUCCACGUUCUCUCCAAGCAACAAAUGCUUACAGACUGCUGAUAAAGAACAAGUGAAGAUAACACUGGAGCUCUGCGUCCGAGCACACAAAAACUGGGAAGUUGCACUUGCUGCAGCUGGAGAUGCUACAGCCUAACCAAUAGGAUGUCUGAUACCAAGCAAGAGCCAGAAGUUAACCCAAGAACUGAAAAAUUAAAAGGGAAGCAUGUUCUGUUUUAAUGACCCAGUCUUCUGUGUCUCUACAUUUAGUCAUUUCCUUUCUGCUUUGAUCUGCCAGACAGCUGUCCUCAGAAAGAACGAACAACUUCUGUACCUCUGAAAUCUCUGAAACAGGCACUUGCAGCUGUUACAGACAGGUGACAAGCAGAACCAUUCAAGAAGUCUUGUCCAGAUUAGACAGAGAAGGAAUUUGCAAGAUGACUUUAAAAAGACACACGUCCUCUUUGCAAGUUAUGACCCUGGCCAUCAUUUGGAAUUAAAAGUAUGUAUUUCCUUGCAUUGUUGCAGUUUGGAGACAACAAAGCGUGUCUUUUCGUUGUACUCAAGGGACUUGGGUUUGUGUUAGUGACAGAAAAAGACCCCUCAGCCCCACAUCUUCCUGGGCCUCUUACCUCACUUUCGCCAAGAGCCAGGAGAACAACGCUGUGGUCUGCUGCUUCUAGGACAAGCCCACCUUCUUCAAAUGCAUAAAAGUGAAAGGCUUCCAAACACUAAUAAAUGUGUAUCUCUGUAUCACACACGAGAAAUGCUAACAGCUGGAAGCUGUGUGGGUAAGCACAGUGGGGAACUGGAUUUCUGUAAGACAGAAAGAACGUGGUCCAGUGCUACACUGAAGCAUUUACAAACUUGGCCAGCGGUGAGAUCUGCUUUGGCUCAGGACUCACACGGGAAAAGCCCAAAGGAAAACAAAGCGUGAAUGUGUGUGCCUGAUACAAAUGAGAAAUCAGUUGGGUGUUGAGGAUGUGUUGUAAUAGGGCAGGAGGUAAAACGGAUUGGGCAUAGAAUAAGCUCUAACUGGCACAGAGCUAGGUCUAUCUAAACAAGCCAGGUUUGGGGAGGUUGGGUGGGGUUUUUUGGUUGGGCUUUUUUUUUCUUGUUGUCUCAGCAUACCAUAUAGCAUUUUCUUCACCGUAGGAGAAAACAAUGUAUAGUGAAGUCUUUGCAGAAGUGUAUGAAAUUGUACAAUAUCGAAUGGGCGCUGUUCUUUGACUUUUCCGAGGUUGUCCCCUCGGAUGAGUCAGAGAAUCCCGUCACAGACCGCGCUGCAGGGCUUACUCAUGCCCGAGUGUCAGACUUGUCCAGGAUUCACGUUCCACCAAAGCACUGCUGGUGGCGGCUGCUAGAAUGCAAGCAAGGACCUAGCAAAGAGCGAGGUGGGGAGGAGGAGUUGUUCCAACUGAGCAAUGCAAGGCAAGCAGCAGGCGCUGGAUCUCAACAAAUAUGGCUUCUGGGAGCUACAAUCAGUAACUCCAGCUGGGCCAUUUGCUUAGGCUUCCUGCCAGAAGAUUUAUAAAAAGAACAGUAAAGAAUGUGCAAUGACUUUAAAUAUGAAUUUCAAAUACAGUGUAGCCAAUAUCCACAUUUGUUGAGGCUUCCAUCCCCCAGCUUUUCUCUAAGGCUCAGCGAGGAAUGCAAGGAGUUUCUCCCGCUGAUCUAAUUUUAUCCUCUCAGAGAUAUCCACCAGCAUGAAGGAAUGAAUUAGAGCCAGUGCCGUUUCCUAAUUACUUCCAGCUCUCAGAGACAGACCCAAAAGAUACUAGGGCAGCAAGCACAACAUAGCAAAGCUGAUAAACCAGCUUUUAAUUGGUGUGUGGCUAUAUAUGGAGGUCUUGCGACAUUUUCCUAAUGGGUGAUUCCAGCCUCUACUCAAACUAGUGCAUGUCCUAGUAUCAGACAUUUCUACGAGUUUAACUGCAACAAAGGACAGCAGCAAACGAGAACAGCUGCCACAUAAGUGAAAUAUGCAGGUGGUUUCCCCAUUAGACAUACGAAGUGGUUCCUCAAAUGCCAGCAAUGGCUAUGUAGCAAGGUGCAACUUUCCAUUACCUGCCAGGUUUUCCAUAUUCUGUAUCUGAAGCACGUUGGCAUGACUGGAGGGGCGUUUAUUGAAGAGCUGGCCCUAUCUGUAACGAACCUGUGCCAGCCACAAGGAGCUUCAUUACCAAGGUUCGGCAGCCUUCCCAGCACAAAAAGGAAAUCCAAUCACCAAGAGGUUUUGUCUUUGAGAUAUCAACAUACAGAACCUCACAGUGAAUACCCAAAGUCACUCACUCAAAAAUGUUACACCACAGAGCAUAAAAAUUCUGCAGUGCCAACCACUAUAAGCAGCUCAGGUGUGGUGGUAGCUGAAUCAUUUGAUUCCUCAAUUAGUAUACGUAAGUGUCCACUAUUUCUGCAGAAAACUGUACAAGGUGGGGUACAGCAGCGAGAAAUGAGUUAGAACGAUCAUAGACUUCUGAUCCAAUUAAUACAACAGGCUCCACCUCCUCCCCUUGUCCUCACAUCCACGUGAGACCCUCAGGAGAGAGUAUAAACUGUGGAGUCUGCUGGGUGUUGUUUUCUCUUGGUUUGAAUAGCAAUCUUAAAUGGCAGUUUGUAUUCAGUGUACGCACCUAGUAAUAUUUUUUUUUUUUAGAGUACAACUCUAGUAAUACCAUGAUUACUAAAAAAAUUACAAUGUACAUACCACCUCUAGUAAUACCACAAUUGCUAAAAUCAAAAUACUUCCCCCCCCCCCCCCCGCCCCAACCCUCUGACUAAACCGUAACACUGAUGCGAUAGUAUAAAAGAAGCCUGACACAAAUCCAUGCCCCCCCACUAGACAAGGCUCCUCACUUGCCUCCUAAGAGCCAGGAGUUAGGUGCACUUCCAGCCAACAGGACAGGCUCCUCCUCGGGGUUAUCAGAGCGCUGCAGGCUCCUUCACGCAGCGGGGCAGGUCUCCCACUCAACGUUCUUCCAGAGUGCUGGUCUUAGGAAGCUGGACGCAGGCCUGCAAGACACUGAACAUCUGCACACACUUUUUUAUGGCGCAAAUUCUACUCCAGUCCCAAGAUGUUGCUGCUUCACAGACAUGCUAGAAACAGCCAAAAAUCAGGAAUUAACAAUUUAACUACUAACAGGCAAACAGAGGGCUUGGGAGGGCCAAAACCUUCCCUACCCAAAGUUCACCAAGAUUCAUCCCCUAGGGAAAUAUACAAGUAUUCAAAUCUCUUGUGGGAUGUACUGUCAUUCCAAGCCUCAUGGCAGUGCUCUUAUGAACAGCUCAUGACACUGACCAUGCUGUGAGGCAGCUAGCAAAGGAACUGUUUCAAUAUAAAGAAAAAAAUAAAAUCAAUCAAGACAGCCCAAAAUUUCUCCAAACUCAGUGUUUUAUUGCUUCAUGAUCAUUAGUUACACUUUGACAUGAUGUACCUUUGAAUAAAUUGGCACCUACUACAGAAUUUAAAAACUUAACUAUCUUACAGCUCAUAUCAUCUGUAGAGAAAACCCAGAGAUCUGGCGUUUUGACCCAAGAUUAAAAGAAAGAUAAAAUGUUUGUAUCCUUUAUUGUUGGCAGGUGAACUUUCAUUGUGGAAGGCCCUUAAAAAUAGUGAACAGAAACUAGCAACCUAUAAACGCCCUCCAAAAAAUAUAUAAAAA